ensembl:rRNA 5S_rRNA 5S ribosomal RNA
GCUUACGGCCACACCUCCCUGAGCACGCCCGAUCUCGUCUGAUCUCGGAAGCUAUGCAGGGUGGAGCCAGGUAAGUACUUGGAUGGGAGACCGCCUGGGAAUACCAGGUGCUGUAACCC